GACGAACGCUGGCGGCGUGCUUAACACAUGCAAGUCGAACGGAAAGGCCCUGCUUUUGUGGGGUGCUCGAGUGGCGAACGGGUGAGUAACACGUGAGUAACCUGCCCUUGACUUUGGGAUAACUUCAGAAAACUGGGGCUAAUACCGGAUAGGAGCUCCUGCUGCAUGGUGGGGGUUGGAAAGUUUCGGCGGUUGGGGAUGGACUCGCGGCUUAUCAGCUUGUUGGUGGGGUAGUGGCUUACCAAGGCUUUGACGGGUAGCCGGCCUGAGAGGGUGACCGGCCACAUUGGGACUGAGAUACGGCCCAGACUCCUACGGGAGGCAGCAGUGGGGAAUAUUGCACAAUGGGCGGAAGCCUGAUGCAGCAACGCCGCGUGCGGGAUAACGGCCUUCGGGUUGUAAACCGCUUUCGCCUGUGACGAAGCGUGAGUGACGGUAAUGGGUAAAGAAGCACCGGCUAACUACGUG
rnacentral:rRNA from 1 species